rnacentral:rRNA from 1 species
AACGAACGCUGGCGGCAUGCCUAACACAUGCAAGUCGAACGAUGCCUUCGGGCAUAGUGGCGCACGGGUGCGUAACGCGUGGGAAUCUGCCUUUCGGUUCGGAAUAACUCAGGGAAACUUGAGCUAAUACCGGAUAACGUCGCAAGACCAAAGAUUUAUCACCGAAAGAUGAGCCCGCGUAGGAUUAGCUAGUUGGUGAGGUAAAGGCUCACCAAGGCGACGAUCCUUAGCUGGUCUGAGAGGAUGAUCAGCCACACUGGGACUGAGACACGGCCCAGACUCCCACGGGAGGAAGCAGGGGGGAUUAUUGAAAAAUGGGGGAAAGCUGAAUACGCCAAUGCCGCGUGAGUAAUGAGGCCUUUGGGGUUGUAAAACUCUUUCACCGGGAAAUAAAAUGGGGAUACGGGGAGAAAAGCCCCCGGCAAACUCCGUC